UACCAGCACCCCGAGUGGUCGGGACGAUUAUUGGGCCUAAAGCAUCCGUAGCCGGUUCUACAAGUCUUCCGUUAAAUCCACCUGCUUAACAGAUGGGCUGCGGAGGAUACUAUAGAGCUAGGAGGCGGGAGAGGCAAGCGGUACUUAGUGGGUAGGGGUAAAAUCCGUUGAUCCAUUGAAGACCACCAGUGGCGAAGGCGGCUUGCCAGAACGCACUCGACGGUGAGGGAUGAAAGGGGGAGCAAACCGG
rnacentral:rRNA from 1 species